rnacentral:misc_RNA from 1 species
GAUGAGAACGCAGCGAAAUGCGAUAACUAAUGUGAAUUGCAGAAUUCAGUGAAUCAUCGAGUCUUUGAACGCACAUUGCGCCCCCUGGUAUUCCGGGGGGCAUGCCUGUCCGAGCGUCAUUGCUGCCCUCAAGCACGGCUUGUGUGUUGGGCUCCGUCCCCCCGGGGACGGGUCCGAAAGGCAGCGGCGGCACCGAGUCCGGUCCUCGAGCGUAUGGGGCUUUGUCACCCGCUCUGUAGGCCCGGCCGGCGCUUGCCGACACAUCAAUCUUUUUUCCAGGUUGACCUCGGAUCAGGUAGGGAUACCCGCUGAACUUAAGCAUAUCAAUAAGCGGAGGA